ensembl:lncRNA
GUUUCCCCUUUCAUAUGUGUCUGAUGUUAGCUAGUUACUGGCUAGCUAGGUCUUCAUAUGUGUCUGAUGUUAGCUAGUUACUGGCUAGCCAGGUCUUCAUAUGUGUCUGAUGUUAGCUAGUUACUGGCUAGCCAGGUCUUCAGCCAGCAUGGAACAAAAUGGGGGGAAAAGGUCAUUCAAAACUCAGUUGCAGUUGUCAUGUCAACACAUCAGUCAGGGCUGCUGUGAACCACAUCACAAGAGACAUGUCAAACGGGAGAUGCAUAAAACAUUAUUGACAUAAUUGAAGCAAUUUCAAUGUUGUUUGAGUUGCUUUGUGUGUCACCACAUUAGCUUGACAUGAUCUGCUGACUGCAUCCAACUUGCUUGACAUAGGCGUUUCAAAGAGCUGUCAGUCAAGGAGAACUCAUGAACAUAUGAGUAUGUUCCCCGCCCACUAAACCUGUCUGUUCAAACUUCCUGGUAGUUAGCCAGAGAGAGAAAAAAAAAAAAAAAAAUUAAAAAAUUAAAAAAUUAAAAAUUGUGAGCAUUUCUAUCCAGAACAAAGAUUAUGACUGACAUUUUAGUCACUCAAAAUACUAUUUUACAUAGGAAUCAAAAUGACUGUUUGGGACUUUUAAAGGAAAUUAAAUAUGCUUCUAUGCCUCGGUUAAAAUAUUGAUAAAAUAUUGAAAGGAAUAUGAGUCUUAUUUAGUACAUUUAGUUAUUGCUUGUUUUUCAAAAGUCUGCCAACCUUGCCAGUAGGCAUGCCAGCUGAGAGAGGUAGCUGCUCUAACUGGAAUGGCUUGUUGGCUGCUAAUUAUGAAGGAUUGAACACUGAGAAUCUAG